GGGCCCGGAGGAGCCCAUGAUCUGGGACACAGCAGAUGAGGCUCAGGACGUGCAGAGGAAAUGAGUCUGUGACCCCUUGGGCAGAAAAACAGCUCUUUCUGUUAGACCUGGACAAGCAUUGGAAUGAGAUUCCUUGAUCCUGCUCUACCGCGUGCCCAGAGAGCUGGAGCUAGGGUGGAGAGCAAGUUAUAGUUUUGGCUUCACAACAUCCUCUGGCAACAGGUUCCACUGGUUGAUGGUUUUCCAGAUUCCUCUCAUGCUGUGUUCUGACACCACCAGCUGCUCCCGCGGCAGCCAGCCCUUCCCAGCAUUGCACAGAGCCAGGGGUGGCUCGGGAUUUUUUUGACAGAUCUGGCCCUUUUUCUCUUACAGGAACUGGGCUGAUGGGGAAGGAGAGCACUGAGCUAAAGCCAGAGGGGCUGAAUCACUAACUCAUGACUGCCCAGUGGAGCUGAGAAAUGCUAACACUCAAGGCUACAUAAAGAAAAACAAACGGAACUUUCAGGAGCAUGGCCCUUCAAAAUCAGAUGACACUGGUCAGGUAAGUAUUAUGGGAGCAGAUUUCCAGCUGGUGCAAACUGUCAGCUGAGAAUAUGUUCCUUUUCCUUUAGUGUGACUAAUUUCAUGUGCAGCUCUAUUAGCUAAUUUCAGUUUGAUGUUGUGUAUUCCUUUAUAUUGAGUUUCCUAUGGGUCUAAUCUUUCCCUUGUCUUUUUCCAGAUUUCCCAGGCCAGAGCCUUAGAUGCUGUGCAUUGGCAUGGGCCACACACCUUUGCAAAGCAUGGGCCACUGAGUGUGGGAAAUGGGCAUUAUGCCACUGAUUUCCUUGGGCUGAGGAUGGAGUAGGCAGUUGGGUGGAGAGUGCAGUUGGGUGGAGACAUAAGUGGUACAUUCUGUAAAAUGUGGUCGAGUAGGACAUACAGGCCACCUAUGCUCCCUGCUCCAAUAGUUCCUUUCUGUUUGGAAGGGCCAAUACACAUCAGGGGUCAAUACUGCAUUCUCAUUCCUGGCGAGAUUCCCAGUACAUUACCAGCCAGCAGCAUUCCUAGCCCUUCUCCUUCACCCCAGCAGUCCCCUUCCAAACUCUAAAUUUCACCUCCAUUCCCUGCCUCACUUCCCCCAACAUCGCUCCCUCCUUGCCCUAUGUAACACCCAUGCAGGAACCUCGGGACCAAGGAGAAACGUAUCCAAGGGAACGAUUUGCUUCACUUUUGUUACCCGCCAACUGUUUCCAAUGCUUUGACUUGCAGUCACUACAGGCGCCCGCGAUUGCUGCCGAACCUGUUUAAGCAAACAGCUGAUCUGAGCGAGCUGCUGCUGCUGGGCUCCCUCCCCCCACCCACCCCAUCUGAUACCCAGGGAACAGGAUGGAUUUGGACUAAGAGAUGAGACAGGGGCAGGGGGGAGAACGAAUGAGACAGUUGAAAAUGUUUAGCGGUUCCCGCGGCACGGGACACAUGCAGCGCCCAGCUGUCGGCCGUGGAAUUCUGGUCAGAUUACAAUCCUGACAAUCUGACUUUCUCCUCAUAGGUCAAAGUAAAUAACAGGCUUUCUAUGAAUAGAUGGCUUUCCAAAUCCUGUACACCUAAAUGAAGCUAUUUGCCACUCCCAGAAAAUUCCCCGGCCAAGGCCUGGGAGUGCCCAGACAGCUACCACAGCCUGGUCUCCACCCACUACCUGCCAAAGCCUGGGGACUGAGAAGCUAGUAGGUCUAUAGCCUCAGCCAUGGCACCACCCAUGGGAGCCCUGACUGGAGGAUCACCUGGCUCCACCGAUUGGUCCAACACACUAUUUAAGCCAAAAUGAGGCCCAGGAAGUUGUCUGAGACUGAGUAACAAGGAUCCUGCCUCAUCAGUGCCUAGGAUGGAGAGUGUUGCCUGAUCUUUGGUGAACCAGGAGGUACUGUGACAUUAUUGACGUGAACUGUGACCGUAUAGAUCAUUGUUGCAACCAGGGUCCUAUAGUUGCAUCAGGUCUUCUACAGAGGAGGUCAAAUGGGGUGUCUAAGGAAAGGUUGUAGUUUGCUGGUUAUGAUUAUGCUGUCUAUAUGUGUGUAUCAUUUUUGUAUUUGAAUUUAUGAAUAUUGGCUAUGUAC